GCCCAGGGUUAGGGCUUCAGGGUCAGGGCCCGGGGCCCAGGGUUAGGGCUUCAGGGUCAGGGCCCGGGGCCGGGGCCCAGGGUUAGGGUUUUAGGGUCAGGGCCCGGGGCCCAGGGUUAGGGUUUUAGGGUCAGGGCCCGGGGCCCAGGGUUAGGGUGAUUUCCAGGAAGUGACCUCACAACGAUUCAAGCUACCACUUACUGUUGAUUGUGAUGAAAUGCCAGCUGAGGCACACGCCUUGGGAGCUAAGUGGUUGCUGCCCUUGACUACUAUGAAGACUCUUGUGGGAAGGGUCGCUUUGGAUGCACUUGAGCAGGGGUCCCCAACCCCUGAGCCAUGGAGUCGUAAGGAGGCACACAGCAGGUGAGUGGUGUCGAGUGAGGGAGUGAGGGAAGCUUCGUCUGUAUUUACAGCCACUCCCCUUUGCUCACAUUCCCGCCUGAGCUCCACCUUCUCAGAUGAGCAGCAGCAUUAGAUUCUCAUAGGAGAACGCACCCUGUUGUGAACCGUGCAUGUGAGGGAUCCAGGUUGCGCUGUUCUUAUGAGAAUCUAAUACCUAUUGAUCUGUCACUUUCUCCCAUCACGCUCAGGUGGGACCAUCCAGUUUCAGGAAAACAAGCUUAACACGCCCACUGAUUCUACAUUAUGCUCCUACCUCCCGGCAGCCUCUCCAGGCCCAGAACUCUCUCCAGUCAGCCUCUACAGACCAAGCUCAUGACUCACAAUGGCCUAUUGAGGCCCAUACCCUACCUCACGGCAGUCUCCGCAGAUGAGCCUACUGCCUCACAACAGCCUCCACAGGCACAGCUCCAUCGUUACAAUGGCCUCUUUAGACCCAGCUCCUGCCUCCCAGCCUUCUCUCCAGGCCCUGAACUUUCUCCGUGGGACCAUCCAGUUUCAGGAAAACAAGCUUAACACGCCCACUGAUUCUACAUUAUGCUCCUACCUCCCGGCAGCCUCUCCAGGCCCAGAACUCUCUCCAGUCAGCCUCUACAGACCAAGCUCAUGACUCACAAUGGCCUAUUGAGGCCCAUACCCUACCUCACGGCAGUCUCCGCAGAUGAGCCUACUGCCUCACAACAGCCUCCACAGGCACAGCUCCAUCGUUACAAUGGCCUCUUUAGACCCAGCUCCUGCCUCCCAGCCUUCUCUCCAGGCCCUGAACUUUCUCCGGUCUCCCUCUGUUGUCCGAGGCUGGAGGGUAGUAGUGCUAUCGCAGCUGACUGCAGCCUCAACCUUCCAGGCUGAAGCGAUCCUCCCAUCUCAACCUCCCACGUGGCUGAGACUACAGGUGCUUGCCACUAUGCCCAACUAAUAUUUGGUAUUUUCGUACACGUGGAUUCCAGAGGGGUAACAGCGAAACGUGGGACCAUCCAGUUUCAGGAAAACAAGCUUAACACGCCCACUGAUUCUACAUUAUGAUUCUUCAGGCCCAGCAUCUGCCUCACUGUGGACCCCCCAAGCCAAGCUCCCAACCUUUCAGCAGCUUCUACACACCCAGCUCCCGCCUGCCAGUGGCCUCUUCAGGCCCAUGGGGCUCAUUCCUCACAACAGCCUUUCCAGUCCCAGUUUUUCCCUUCCGGCGGCCUCUCCGGGCUGAGAACCUCCUCAAGUCGGCCUCUCCAGACCCACUUGCACCCUCCAGGCGUCCUCUCCGGGCCAAGCUCCUCUUCCUGGCUGCGUCUCCAGGCCCGACUCCUGCCUCUCAACAACCUCUUUGGACUCAGUGCCUACCCAUCUCCUGGCGUCCUUGGUCGGACCACAGCUUCCUCAAGCCAAGCUCCCCAGGCCCAGGUCAGGCCUCACGGUGCCCCCUCCACGAUGAGCUCAUGCCCUCCAAUGGCACCUGCAGGCCCCAAAUGGUCUCCGGUCGGUGGGCUCCUCCACGCCAAGCUUGGGCCUCCCGGUGACCUCUGCAGGCCCAAGUUGUCCUGAAGUCAGCAUCUCCCGGCCGUGCCUCCCAGCAAGUAAGCAAGCUCUUUUGGCUCAACUCCUGCCCAGCUCCCAACCGCCUUUGUAGGUCCCGAACUUUCUCCAGCCAAGUUCUUUGGGCCUCAUUCCUGCAGCCCGGUGGCCUGUACGGGCCCAGCAAUGGUUGGAGAAUGGCCUCUGCAGGUCCCGCUCUUGCCUCCCAGGGGCCUCUCCAGGCCCAGCUCUCGCCCCCACGGCGGCCACCCGGGGCCAAGUCCCUGCCUGCCUCCCAGCAGCCCGCAUGCGGCCCAGCUCCUCCCUCACGGUGGCCUGUUGAUGCCCAUGCCUCUGGUACCCUGCCCAGAGGCAUGAGCCCCUGCCACACACUGGCUCCUCCCACGCUGAGAGAGGUCAGCGUGAGCCCUUGCCUCACACCGGCCCCUCCCACGCUGAGAGAGGUCAGCGUGAGCCCCUUGCCUCACACCGGCCCCUCCCACGCUGAGAGAGGUCGGCGUGAGCCCUUGACUCACACCGGCCCCUCCCACGGUGAGAGAGGUCGGCGUGAGCCCCUUGCCUCACACCGGCCCCUCCCACGCUGAGAGAGGUCAGCGUGAGCCCUUGCCUCACACCGGACCCUCCCACGGUGAGAGAGGUCAGCGUCAGCCCCUUGCCUCACACCGGCCCCUCCCACGCUGAGAGAGGUCGGCGUGAGCCCCUUACCUCACACCGGCCCCUCCCACGCUGAGAGAGGUCAGCCUGAGCCCCUUACCUCACACCAGCCCCUCCCACGCUGACAGAGGUCAGCGUGAGCCCCUUGCCUCACCCCGGCCCCUCCCACGCUGAGAGAGGUCGGCGUGAGCCCUUGCCUCACACCGGCCCCUCCCACGCUGAGAGAGGUCAGCCUGAGCCCUUGCCUCACACCGGCCCCUCCCACGCUGACAGAGGUCAGCCUCAGCCCCUUACCUCACACCAGCCCCUCCCACGCUGAGAGAGGUCGGCGUGAGCCCUUGCCUCACACCGGCCCCUCCCACGCUGAGAGAGGUCAGCGUGAGCCCUUGCCUCACACCGGCCCCUCCCACGCUGAGAGAGGUCAGCGUGAGCCCUUGCCUCACACCGGCCCCUCCCACGCUGACAGAGGUCAGCCUGAGCCCCUUACCUCACACCAGCCCCUCCCACGCUGACAGAGGUCAGCGUGAGCCCCUUGCCUCACCCCGGCCCCUCCCACGCUGAGAGAGGUCGGCGUGAGCCCUUGCCUCACACCGGCCCCUCCCACGCUGAGAGAGGUCAGCGUGAGCCCUUGCCUCACACCGGCCCCUCCCACGCUGACAGAGGUCAGCCUCAGCCCCUUACCUCACACCGGCCCCUCCCACGCUGAGAGAGGUCGGCGUGAGCCCUUGCCUCACACCGGCCCCUCCCACGCUGAGAGGUCGGCGUGAGCCCCUUGCCUCACACCGGCCCCUCCCACUGUGAGAGAGGUCAGCGUGAGCCCUUGCCUCACACCGGCCCCUCCCACGCUGAGAGAGGUCGGCGUGAGCCCCUGCCUCAACAGGCCACCGUGAGGGAGGAGCAGGGUCGCACGAGGGCUGCUGUGAGGCAGGCAGCGACUUGGGCCUGGGAGGUCGUGGUGGGGCGAGAGCUGGGCUUGGAGACUCCCCUGGGAGGCAACAGCGGGGCCUACAGACUCUGUUCUCCAGCCGGAGGUGGGACUGUUCAGGUACUGGGAGGCGGGAUGUGGGUCUGAAGAGCUUGGUUGCAGAAACUUCGGGGUCUACAAACGCAGGCGGGAGCUGAGCCAAAAAAGCUUGUUUGCUGGGAGGCGGGAGAUGCAGCCAGGAGAAACAGGUGUGCCUGCAGAGGCCGCCAUGCGGGAGGCGGAGGCCGGGCCUCCUCAAAUCGGCCUCUCCAGACCCACUUGCAGCCUCCCGGCAUCCUCUCCGGGCCCAGCUCUUCCUCCCGGCUGUGUCUCCAGGCCUGACUCUGGCCUCCCAACAACGUCUUUGGACUCAGCUCCUGCCCAGCUCCCAGCAGGCCCAAGUCGUCGUCAAGUCGGCCUGGAAUUGGGCCCGGAAGAGCAGCAAGUCGGCCUCCCCGGGCCCAGCUCCGUCCUCUCGGCGGCCUCUCCAGGUGCAAAACUUCCUCGAGUCAGCCUCUCCAGGCCCAGCUCCUCCUGCCUCCCAGUGGCCUCUUUCAGCCCAGACCAGCUCAUGGCUCUUGGCGGCCUUCCCAGGCCCCGCUUUUGACUUUUGGUGGCCUCUUCAGGCCCAGAACUUGACCUCCAGUGGGCCUUUGCAGGCCCGGCCUCCUGCCUCUCGAAGGCCUGCACGGGCCCGGACUCACAGCGGACUCACAGCGGACUCUCCAUGCCCAGCUAGCUCUCGCCUCAUUGCGGCCUCCCGAGUCCAAAGCUCCUGCCUCUCGGCCGCUUCGGCAGGCCCAGCUCCCGCCUGCCAGUGGCCUCUUUAGGUCCAGCUCAUUCCUCACAACGGCCUUCCCAGGCCCCGUUUUUCCCUUCCGGCAGCCUCUUGGCCUCUAAUUUGUUUAUCUUUUGUGUAUAAAUCCCAAAAUAUUGAAUUUUGGAAUAUUUCCACCAUUAUGUAAAUAUUUUGGUAGGUGAUUUAUUUGGGGUGAGUUUCUGCACCAAGCCCGAAUUUUUUAUUUUAUUUUCCUUAUUAUUUGGUGUUAAACAGGUUUAAUGACGGUCACGGCAACUGUUUGACACAAUGAAAAAUAUCGCCCAUGA